GAGAGAGAGAGAGAGAGAGAGAGAGAGAUCGCCCCAGUUACUGUGCACUCCUUGGGGACUUGGGUCAGUUGCCAGGCUGACCAAGUUUGGGAGGCUUGAGAUGGCAAGUCCUGAACGUCCAAAACUUUACUGGGGUCCUCCGAUCCAGUGUCCUGUUGUCUCCCUGAAUUCUGUCUACCAUCGUUGCACUCCGCCUUCCAAGCUAGGGGUGUAGGCACUGGUUUUUGGUGGGGUACUCAUCAGAUACAAAAGUGGGAAUGAAAAUUCGCUUUUCCAAGGGGAACGGUGGACAGACACACCCUGGCACUGGUGGUCCUAAGUGUUAACAAAACAUCCGACCAAAGGGGUGGGGGCGUUGGAAAGAAACCGGCUGAGGGAGCUGGAGGAAGAGCUGGGUAAAGAAAAAGAGGGAGCAGCCUGAGGAAAGGCGAGUAAAGCAGCUGGCAAGGGCGGGAGGAAGAGGCUGCGCGCAGACCGAGCGGGGGAGAGGCUGGCGGGAGCGAGGAAAGCUGCAGGCGAGAGGGGGAGGUUUCUGGCAAGAGGCACAGGCGAACGCGGGCAGGGGAACUUCAGAAGAGGCUGCCAAAAAGGACUGGAGCUGCAGCAAUGUGAGGCAGUGGACAGGGGAGGCAGCAACCACCAGCCCUUGGCAGGUGAUGGUUUGGCUGGGAGAGAAAGGGGGAAGGGAGAGAGGCAGGCAUCUGUUUGGGGGCAGUGCCAAUAAAUGUGCUUCUCCUUGGCAGCCAGCAGAGGGGAAGAGGAGCUCACGGAAAAGAAAAGCAGGGAGGCGAGGUUAAGAAUAAAGCGUGUUCCAGGAGUGUGCCUCCCUGAACCAUAAAAUGGGGCAGGAGAAGAGAGUGAAUGGACCAAAGAUAGACCCCAUACUUAAUUCUGUUUUGUUCAUUGUCAUGUUAUUGCCUACAAUGGCAUCUGACACAUGGUGUCUUCUUCAUUCUGAAACUUCUAUUUCCAACUAAACUGAAUGAGAUCUUCAUUUUAUUUCCUGAGAUAUUAAAGGUGAAAACUGAAACCCAGUCUGUGACUGGAGGGAAUCUUAUGCAUGCCUGCCCUCAUCAUAACUCUGGAACUGCCUUCUCCAUUGCCCCUGAGAACUUGAUGUACAGAAGAUCUUUUGAAAGGAAAUCUCCAAGAUUUUACAUUUCUUUUGGAUGGUUGAAGGCUGCCAAACUCAGUGUUUCAAUGUGCAUUUCACAUGACAAGUGGAGGAUGCUCCCUGGAGGUCUCUGACAGAAAUCAGCAUGCUCAAAACGCUGCCAAUGCCACAAUAGGAAAGGCAUACAUGUCUGUGGAACACCGAGAGCUGCCAGGAACAGAUCAGCUUGAGAGAAAAAUGCUAACCACAACCCAACUUAGCUUCUAUUUAAAGGGACCAUUUGAGUAAGACAUAUUAAAAGGUUUAUAAAACAUGCAGAAAGUUGUUAGGGUCCAAGUUUUUGAGGUAUUCUAUUUAUUUUUCUGUGGUUCUUGUCAUAGUCUUAUGUUGUUUUCUAAGGUAUCUUGAUAUUUAAAGAAACAUCAUAACAGUGUAUUAUUCUCUAAAAUUACAAUCUCUGUGAAGAUGGCAAAUAGCAGGCUAUGUGAAAUUCCAAAGAAAUUACUGUGAAUGUGUCUACAUGAAAAACACAUUGCUGCUAUAUAUGUGUUUGAGUUUUAAGAACAAAUUAGCAUUUGGCUUUACUGACACUAAUUGUUAUGCAACUGAUGAAGUUGGUUAUAGGUAUGAGAAGAAGACACAGUAAAUAAAAUAACUCUAUGACCUUA